AGUGAACGCUGACGGUAGGCCUAACACAUGCAAGUCGAACGGCAGCACAGUAAGAGCUUGCUCUUACGGGUGGCGAGUGGCGGACGGGUGAGGAAUACAUCGGAAUCUACUUUUUCGUGGGGGAUAACGUAGGGAAACUUACGCUAAUACCGCAUACGGCCUACGGGUGAAAGCAGGGGAUCUUCGGACCUUGCGCGAUUGAAUGAGCCGAUGUCGGAUUAGCUAGUUGGCGGGGUAAAGGCCCACCAAGGCGACGAUCCGUAGCUGGUCUGAGAGGAUGAUCAGCCACACUGGAACUGAGACACGGUCCAGACUCCUACGGGAGGCAGCAGUGGGGAAUAUUGGACAAUGGGCGCAAGCCUGAUCCAGCCAUACCGCGUGGGUGAAGAAGGCCUUCGGGUUGUAAAGCCCUUUUGUUGGGAAAGAAAAGCAGCAGGUUAAUACCCCGCUGUUCUGACGGUACCCAAAGAAUAAGCACCGGCUAACUUCGUG
rnacentral:rRNA from 1 species